rnacentral:rRNA from 1 species
AUUGAACGCUGGCGGAAUGCUUUACACAUGCAAGUCGAACGGUAGAGGGGGCAACCCCUCGAGAGUGGCGAACGGGUGAGUAAUAUAUCGGAACGUGCCCAGUCGUGGGGGAUAACGUAGCGAAAGUUACGCUAAUACCGCAUACGAUCUAAGGAUGAAAGCGGGGGAUCGCAAGACCUCGCGCGAUUGGAGCGGCCGAUAUCAGAUUAGGUAGUUGGUGGGGUAAAGGCUCACCAAGCCAACGAUCUGUAGCUGGUCUGAGAGGACGACCAGCCACACUGGAACUGAGACACGGUCCAGACUCGUACGGGAGGCAGCAGUGGGGAAUUUUGGACAAUGGACGCAAGUCUGAUCCAGCCAUUCCGCGUGCAGGAUGAAGGCCCUCGGGUUGUAAACUGCUUUUGUACGGAACGAAAAGGUCUCUCUUAAUACGGGGGGCUCAUGACGGUACCGUAAGAAUAAGCACCGGCUAACUACGUGCCAGCAGCCGCCGCCG